AUUGAAAAAAAAGUUGUUGAAAAACUACCAAGUAGUUUAAGAGAUAUAGCGAUUUUCCCUAUCGCCUACCAGAUUCGGCAGUUUCUGCCAACUGAAAGUCCAGAUUUUUGAAAAAAUAGCAAACGUUACCGGAAUACCUCAAAUUUAUAUGUAGAUAGCUAACACAUAUAUCUUCAUACAAUAAAAAUUUGAGAGCUAAUAUCAACAUAUGGUUACUGAAAUAAUUAACCUAAUCAUCUGCCUCACGACAGUUUCACAGAUACGGCAGUAGACUUCUCAAAUUUUAAAAGGGUAGUAAACGAAGUUCAAAUAACAUGAAACUUUGACAAAUAUUCACCACACUCCCAUCUAUACCCCACGAAAUUUCCCAUAAUAUAAUAGAAACGGGAAUGCAUCGAAAUAAGGGCGUCAACUUACCCUUGUCCAAGUGAGCACUAAUGGAAGUUGUCGUCGGGGGUUUUCCGGUCGUCGUUCCGCGAUGGUGUUUAGCCGCGAAGGUCUACGACUUAGUUUUCCUCGUGCGAGGUAGAUCAGGCUACACAACGGUGGUUUCUCGAUCCUUUUUCGUCGUAAGGAUAGUGAGAAACGAAGGCCGUAAGUUGGCCGGUGGCUAAGUCGGGAAUUCGACGUUGGCCGCCGAAGGAUAUUGCGGCCUUUGGUCAGGAAAAUAUAGAGAAGGCUUCGGCCUUUCGAUUGUUGGGUUUGGUAGCCUGAAGAUGGAGGAACGAGUACACGUUCUCGGUUCAGAGCCUAGUGGCCGGUCGGCGAAGAAACAGCCCGGCGAAAUGCUUUGAGCUUUUAACGAAAGGAGUUUUCUUUGGUGUGUUUAAGCUGCUGCGAAUCCUAGCAAUUUAUAGGCAAAACUGGAAUAGUGUUACUGUAGCAAAGGUUGAAAAAAUCAUGAGCAAAACUGGAAUACGUGAAAGUCCAAAGCAGCCAAAACUUUUCUGCAAACACCAACUUUUUUUUUUGACAAAUUGUUAGCACCAACUUUUGACUAACAAGGGAAUAGUGUAGGAAUUGAUGUGUUGGAUGAAAAAUCGAGACAUACGUGUAGUGCCGUGAUCUAGUUUCUCCUAGUUCCUGUAAUAAUUCUCCAAUUCUCGUUUAAUAAAUACUCGUCGUAUUUAUAUAAAUUAAAUCCUCAAUCUUGAGAUUUAAUACGUGAAAGUCGAAAUUAAUUCGGACUUAGUACUAAACAUAUAAAGCGUGAAAUAAUAAAAUUAUUAUUAACAUAAACUCGAGUUAUAAUUCUAGCAAUUCGAUUUAAAUAACACGAUUUAUGAAAUCGGUUAUAAAUCUAAAAUUUCUAAUACUAUUGAUUAAAUCAAUCAACUGGUAAUGCAAGGUCUCAAACGUGUAGCUAAACCAAUAAUUUAAUUAUUGGUUUGAUUCAUGAUUGAAUAUUAAAUCGCAGCUCUGUAUCUCUUAUACAGACUUUUGCUAAAAUAAUAUUAUCUGAAUAAAAUAGUCACAAUAAAUAAUUAAAAGAAUUUUAUAACUAAUGCACAUGUUUAAUCUAAUAUAUAUUUAAAAGAGCGGGGCAUUACAGAAAAUCUUUUCUCUUUUUGUUUAAGUUUUGAGGAUGGAGCUUGAAUCUUUUGUAGACCAAAUGACUCACAAAAGGUUCCUAUUUUUUUUUGAAUCUAUUCUUUUCAGAACCGUAUUUGGAUUGUAUUUUAAGUUCUGUGCAAAGUAAAAGGCCUUCUUUUUUAAUAAAAGCAAAGAGUUGACCAUAAGUGAUUGUUGUGAAAUUUAUUUCUAUUUGAUCCAGUGGCUUCUUUGAGUUUUUGAUGUAUUCUUUCCCCAAAUAGUUUGGGGAGUCCUGUAUGAAUCUUUCUUUCCAGAAUGAAGCAUUACAAUCACUUCUUUUAAGGAUAUGAGUUAAGAAGACAUCUUUAUACCAUCUAUAAUCAGAUAGGGUAGGACAUCUUAAAUUAGAUAGAACUAUUUGAGUAGAAUCUAAUUCUUCUUUUGGAUUUCCUAUGAAUACAUACCUUGUAAUUUAUCCAGGUAUUUACUCAGUAGUCACUUUAAGUCUAAAUACGGUGAUUUGUUGCUUAUCUAUUUAUGUCUAAUGAAUUAUCCCACCAGUUUUUAAGUUGUCCGGUAAAUCCCGUGACUAUUAGUGCAGCAGCAUUUUCUUCAGUUAAAUUUUGAACUUUAUAAGCAAUUCUGGUCCCAUGCCCAUUUCUUGAAGUAUAUUAAGAAUUUUCAUAUUCUGAUCUACCAUCAAUAUUCCAUUCGUGAAUAGAGUGACCAUCAUAUUUGGAAUUAUUUUUGAAUUGAGGUCUUUCCUCGAAUUGAAUAUACUGGAGGAGUAUAUCUAUUAUAUAAUAGUUUUUUGUUCCAAUUUAAAAUGUAUUCUAUUGAUUUUAUUAUCUCAGAAUUAUUUUCUUGGUUUUCUUAAACAAUUAAUUUUUUUGUUCCAGAACCAGAAGGGCUCUCUAACUUUUUAGAAAUUCUAUCAAUAAGAUUAUGAGUAGUAGAUAAUUUGUAGUUUUUUUCUUAUUUUCUUCAGGUAAGACUUCUAGGAAUAAAAUGAGGAUUUGAAUAUUAUGUGGAAAAUUUAUUUAUUUGUUUUUGUGAAUCAAUUUUUGUUGAAAUAUGAUCUAUUUGUUCGGCGAUAGUUUGUAAGAUUUUGAUUUGAAUAAUUAUUUUGUUCGUGGAGUUUUUUUAAUAUCACUCAUUUUUGGUCCAUCUCUCCGUCUCUUCCAGUACGAAAUGGAGUAGCAGAUAUUUCUCCAUUAGGAAUUUGUAUUUUGAUAUUUUUGUAAAAGGAGGAUGAAUGGAAGUUAAUAUAGAACCAGUAGCUAAUUUCCAUUUUUUAUAAAGGUUUGUUUGAACAUUUAUUUGAUCUAGAUUGUAGACAUUAUUAAUAUCAUUAAGCUGACAGUAUCCUUGAAACCAAUCUAAAAUUGGAAUAUUAGAUUUUAAUUUAUGUAAUCCUUUUAUCCAUUCAAUUUGAAGUUUAUCUCUUAAAGGUUUUUCAAGUUUUAAAACCAUUCUUUUCUUUCAAUUUCUUCUGGAUCAUUAAAUUCCUUUUCAAGGUAAUUGAAAUUAAUAGAGAAAUUCAUAUUAGAAAUCAUAUUGAUUUGAUCUUCCAUUUGAGAAAUAGUAGGAGAUCCUACUUGAUGUGUUUCUUCUUCAGUUUGAUAACUAGUCGAAGGGAUUGGAGAUUUGUAAUUAACUUUAAUAUUAGGAUACUUAAAUUUAGAACUUUCAGAAAAUGAAUUUCUUGAUGAGACUUCUUGAAUACGUAUUGAGGAUUUUCUUUGUUCUCUAUAUGAAUUAAAUCUUAGAAGAAUUCUCCCGUCAUCAUCUUCUUCAAUCUCUGAGACUUCUCGUUUUUCAAUUCCUCUUGGUAUUUGUAGGAUUUUGAAUUAUGAAUUCAUUAGGAAUAGUUAUUUCAUUCCAUUUAAGUCUUUUAGGAACGAAAGAUGUUGAAUUAUCAGCUUCAAUUUGAAGUAUGACAGUUUCAUCUUUUAAGGUUGGAGUGAAUUUAAAUUUUGGAUUUAAAUGAGAUGACAUAACUCUAAAGUAAACUCGAUAUAUGACAGCAAAAUUUUUACAAAGAUUCUUAAAUUCAUCUCCUUGAAGGUGAAUAUCAAGAAUUAAAGAAUCAAGAAUUAAAGGAUCUGUGAGAUCUAUGGAAUAAUUGGGAGCACAGUUGAAAUAAAUAGGACCAUUACAAACAUUUGUUUGAAUCAUUGCUAAUAAAGAUGAUUUAUACUUCUUUAAUCUAUUAUCUCUAAGGGCAAGAUAAACAGGAGCAUCAACUCCAAUAUGAACUAAGGGUUUAACUGCUACUUGAAUUAACCCGAAAUGAAUAUACCUAUAACCCUUUUCUAUGUAUUUUCUUAUAGAAACUUUUGAAAGAAGUUGCAUGCUUUGAAAUUCUUCUUGAAGAGAAAUAGUUUCUUCAUGAGUUUUAAUAGAAAAAGCAGUUUUGAAAUCAAAUGUUCCGAUUUGAUACAUAGAUUCUAUUGGUUGUUCAGGAAUAGUCCAAUUUGAAUAAUUGUUUGGUAUGCUGAUUUCACUGGAUUGAACAAUACCAGAAUUAUUCGCAUUAUUAUUUUUGGAAAAUAGAGUUCUUAUUCUGGAUGCCAUUAAUACUGAUGAAAUUUCUUAGGCUUUAAUGGAUCGAUUCAAUUUUAACAGGGACCACCUAAUCGGGACCACCUCACUUGGGCUGACCAAACGAAACAAGGCUGACCAAACCGUUAAAUUGAUAGACCAAAUAAAGCUUUGAAAUUUAAACAGUAAAACAGAGUCUAGGCAAAGUCCUACUCUUUUCCAAGAUAAUAUUGGAAUGGCUCUGAUACCAAUCCUAACCCAGGGAAUUAAUAAUGGUAUUGAGUGCAAUAUAAAAAUUGAAAAUGAGUGCUAUAAUAAAAUCUAGGACUAUAUAGAGAAAUUUUGAAUUCGUAAAGAGAAAUUAUACAAGAAAGUAGGCUUUAUAAACUGAGGGAAUGGUUUGGAGGUUUAGAAAAUGACUUGCUCCGUCAAUUUUUGUCUACCUCUUGAAAUGAAAUUCAAUCCUGUUAUAUAGAGGAUUUCUUUUAGAUGUCUUUGUCGACUGAUGAGUGGAGAUUGGCUGGAAAUACCUCAAAGUCUCUAAUUGAAUAGUUGAGUGGACCAUCUGCUUUUGAAAAAUGUAUUUAUGUGCCUUGAAAGUUUUUUGAUUGGAGUCAAAAGUUGCCGUGUGCCUUGAAAGUCUUUGAUUGGAGUCAAAAGUUGUCUGCCAUCUGCUGCUUUUGAAAAGAGUGCCACAGUCUUGAGUGAGACUCAUGAUGGGAAAAAGAUGUCGGCCAACGUCAAUUAUCCCAUGGUUUUGCUCCGAAAGUCUUGAACUUCCUGCAUUGAGAUAGGUUAGUUGAAAAUUUUUUAUUUUUCUUUUUCCUUUUUUCUUUUGUUUCUUUUUUCUUUUCUUUUUUGUUCUUUUGAAUUUUUCUUGUUUUCUUUCUUUUUCUUUUGCUUCUUUUUUCUUUUUAUUUUUAUGAAUAGGAUGAACAGGUAGUCAGAAAUCAAAGGGAUCUUGUUCACAUGGUCCUCCAUAAUCUGCACAAGAUCCUUCAGAGGUGGUUUCUUCUGUUUCUGAUUCUCUUUUCAUCUUGAUGAAUUGUAGAUAUUCUUUUGCUGUCUCGGGAUCUUCUUCAAAGAGUUGGAACAUCUUGACUUGUUUUUGAGAAAGAGGAACUGAUUCUUUCUUCUUUUCUUUGGAAGGAAGAUCUGGAAUGAUAUUUUCUUGAACUGCUUUCUCCCAUUUGGGUUUUUCACCUGUCUGGAGAAACUUCUGGACAACAUUGAAAUUGCAGAGCUUGGUGGAGAAGUUUUUCCACCAUUUAAUUUUGAAUUCCCUAAUAAUUGACAUGGGUAAUGGUUAUGGAUGGAAUUGUGCAAUAGCAUAACUCCAGCAAAAGAUCCAGGGAACUUUGAAUUCCGAAUAGAAUUGAAUAUCUUUGAGGUACAUAGGACCUGGGGCUUUUGAAAUGUAAUGAUCGUAUCCUUGAUGGACGUCUGCUGGGAGGAUAUUGGGUAAUGGACCGAAAUCCAUCCACCAUUCAAGAAACCAGAUUGGAUAUGAAGUUUUUGAAAAUUCCGAAUGGAAAGUAAAGAACCAUGAAUGAUCAAAGGGUCUGAGGAAAAAGGUUUUGAACCACGCCAUUUUGUAGUCUGGAUAGGAAUAUCCUUUUGGUGAAUUUUUUUUGGAAAAUCCUCUUUCAGAAUGAGGAAAAGUCCAUUCAUCAGAACGGACGAUCUUUUUGAUGAUACAUUUCGAGAAUGAAAUUCUUUCUGGAUUUUUGGGAUCAUAUGUAUGAACAAGUUCGAUAGAAUUUGAAUCAACAAGGAUGAAUUCAUAGAAAAUUUGAGUCUUUUGAGUAUUGUCAGAAUACCAUUGGCAUCCUUUUGGAAAGUACCUUAAAAUAAUAUCUUUGAGUUUUGCAAAAUCUGGAGUUGUAGUGAAUUUUGUCAAGGUAAUAUUCUGAGCAUUUGGUUUGGUAAAAUAAGUAUUGGAAGGGUUGAAUUUUGAAAUAGUUGUCUUUGAAGUUGAAGCUUUAACGGGAGUAGUAGGUGCGGGAACUUUGACUAUUUGAGAGUAUGGGAGUUCUGGGAAUUCAACAAGGGCUUGGAAUUGAUUCGGAUUAUUUGGAUUGUAUCGACUCAUGCUUUUCUGUAGAAUUUUGAAGAAAUUCUCUGGUUAGAAAAUCAGGUAAAGAAUUAUUUUCUCCUUUGAUAUAUUCUAUGUCAAAAUCAAAACUUGAAAGUAUAGCUUGCCAUCUGGCAAAGAUUUGUUUUGAAACAAUAUUUUUAACAUCCUUUUGUAAAACUUCUUUAGCAGAUUUGCAAUCGAUUCUUAAAAGAAAUUUUUUAUUAAAAAUAUCACUUUGAAAUUUUGAAAUACAAAGAACAAUGGCAAUAAUUUCCUUUUUGAUUGUAGAAUAAUUCUUUUGUGGUCCAAGCCAAAUUCCAUAAUGGAAUCUAACAAGUUGUUCAUUUUUCUUUGAAAGGGAUGUAGAUGCAUGAGAUGCAUGAGAUGAGAUGUUUUGUUUAAGGAUCCCCCAUAUCCUAUGUCUGACGCAUCAGUUUCUAUAAUCAUGAAAGCAUCUGGUUUAGGAAUGCCUAGACAGGGUAAAGAUUUAACUUGUAUUUUUAUUUUCUUGAUAAUGUCAGUAUGGAUAGAAGUCCAUGGAGGAGGGUUUUUUUGAAGUCCUUGAAAUAAAGGUUUGCAGAUUAUUCUUAAUUUGGGAAAGAAAUCAGAUAUAUAAUUGAGACAUCCAAGAAACCUUUGUAAUUGAGUUUUUUCUUUAAUUUCAUUAGGAAAUUUGUCUGCGAAUUCAAUAGCCCUAGUAAUAGGUUUAAUAGUUCCUUUAUGAAUAUCAUGUCCUAAGAAUCUUAUUUUAGUUUGAAAUAGUUUUACUUUUGAGGAAGAAAUGGCUAAUCCGUUUCUUUUAACUACUUGUAUAAAUAUUUUUAGAUGUUUGAAGUGUUGUUCAAUGUUUUGAGAAAAUAUAAGGAUAUCAUCAAUAUAAACAAUUGAAAAAUCUGAAUAAUCAUUAAAAAAUUCAUUCAUAAUAUUUUGAAAUUUUGAAGGAGCAUUUUUUAAUCCAAAUGGAAUUACAUUCCAUUCAUAAUGUCCAAAAGGAACUGUGAAAGCUGUUUUAUAUUUGUCUUUUUCAAUAAUUUGGAUUUGCCAAAAUCCUGACUUGAGGUCAAAUUUUGAGAAUAUUUUUGCUUUAUAUAAUCUAUUAACAAGAUCUCUUUUAUUGGGUAUUGGAUAUCUAAUCCAUUAUAAAACUUCAUUAAGAGGUUUGUAGUUAAUGACUAAUCUGGGAACUCCUCGUUCCUUUUCUGCUUGAUUGUUAACAUAAAAUCCAGCACAAGACCAAGGAGAUUUUGAAGGUCUAAUUAAUUUUUUCAUAAGAAGAGAAUUUAUUUCUUCUUUGCAAGUAUUAAGUAAUUCAUGAUUCGUUUACCCGUGGUUUCUCGCGGGUGUUUAAGACUGCUUUUGUUUUGACUCUUGUUUUUCUUUUUUUCCUUUCUAAUAAAAUUUCUAUUUCAGCAUUUGAAUAGGUCUAGCUUUGGUAGGAAUAUUCUUUUCAUCGAAUUUAGGAAUGUAUGGAAGGGAAACAAUAUGUUUAUUUCUUUCCCAGAAAGCACUUGGUAAAUCUAAACAAAUACUUUAUUUAAUACUCCCUCCGUCCGCCAAAAGUAGACCAUUUUUACUAUAUUGGGCGUCCGCAAAGAGUAGACCACUUUCCUUUUAUGGAAAUGGUCCCACCACCCACUUUAAUCUUUUAUCCUUACAAACACUCUUUAUUUACAAAAACCCCACCCCAAAUUCAAUAUCAACCUGUAACACCCCGUUAUUUCUUAGCUAAAUUUAGAAUUAUUUUGAACUUAGAAGUCAGGAUGAUUCACGCCGGAUAUAAAGAAAAUGAAUUUAUUUUAAUUCCAACAAAAAUGAUUUACAAAAACAUUUGUAAAUUUAGUUAUUAAAUUUAUAUGCAUUGCAUAUUUAUUUAAUUUAGCAUUCAAGUAUUUUCACGAGCUAUUUAUUUAAGCGUACCCUGAACGAUUAUUACAGUUUUCAUAAUACAACCCGGAAGACUUUAUUUUAUUAUAUUUUAUUUAUUCACCUAAUUUCUCCAACUAAUUUCUCCACCUAAUUUAUCCACCUACUCUUUCACUACUCCCACUACUCCCACUACUCCCACCUACUACUCACCUAACAUACACCACUUACCUCCCUCAAAAUAAGCUGUCACCCACUACCACCACUUUAAAGCAAUCAAGUGCUCCAUAACUCCUACUACCACCACUUUAACGCAAUCAAGUGCUCCAUAACUCCUCUGCAUCCAUAAGUAUACCAUAUCCAAGCUCUCCUUUACUCAAUUCAUACAAAUUAUUUUUCUGAGCCAAGUUGAGACAGAAAGCAAUUCAUUCUCCUCACAAAUCAAGCAAUCGAACCAUUUCAGCAAUCGAACCAUUUCAGAUUUCAACGGCUCAACUCAAAGCCCUUCCUCAAACUAGUAGAACACUCAGGCAUAACAUCAAGAACAAGCUCAGCCUUUCCUAUCAAGGUUUUUCUUCCAUUCAUAGCAGUAAACACACACAUAUACAGAAACUAAUCCAGAGAAUCCUUAUAAAAGUUUCACUUCCAAAUUCUACUCUAUAAAUUGUAAUGUUUCCUUUCGUUCAUUCACAGAGAAACACAUAUGCAUACAUUCAUUUAUAUAUAUAUACAAACUCAUAUAUGUGUUUAAGCAAACAUAUCAAAUGUUUUACAAUGAUUAAAAUCGAAAUGAAUAAAAGAGAAGAAGAAGAAUGCUAUAUGUUUGUUGGGUGUGUGAGCCGAGUCUGGGGAGUGAUACGGCGGUCGGCGGCGGCUCAUCGCUGUUGUCCGUCCGGCGCAGCAGAGCGAGAGGGAGGUGGCGGCGCCCUCGCCGUUGCCAAGGAGGGAGGCGGACGAAGGGUGGUGUCUGGGCGUGAGCUCAUAGUUGGUGUGUGCGUGAGAUGAUAGGGAGAGAGAUGAAAUGGGGGUGGACGGCGGCUGGACAGCGGGGCUGUUCAGUGGAGGGAGGCAGGGCACGGCGGCUGUGCCGCUGCUGCCCGGCCACGGUUGGAGAGAAGGAGGUGGGCUGGUCGGAGCUGGGUUUAGCAGAGGGAGGCCAGAGCUCGGCGGCCAUGGCUGCUGUUGCUCGGCCACGGACGGAGGGAGAGAUGGGAGUCGCGGUCGGCGGUAGCUUCCUGCUGCGGCCGCCGGAAGAGGCUGUGCGGUGGUUUUGAAGGAACCGUGAGAGAGUGAUUUGGGGAGAAGAAGAAAUGAGAGUGAAGGUGUGUGUGCGUGAGGUGUUCGGCAGAUGGGGGGGGGGAGAAAAAGAGGUGGAAUGUUGGGCUAGGGCUUGGGGGUGUUGGGCUUUGGGGAUGGGUUUGAAAUUUCGAAUUGGGCUUGAGCAUAUGGGUCGAAACAUAUUAAAGGUUGGGCUUUGCUUUUCUUUGGGUUGGGCUUGAUUUGGGCUUUGUUUUAAAUUUCAGUUGGGCUCUUUAAUUGGGCCGAGUUUUGUUUAUAUUUCAGUUGGGCCAAUGUUUUUUAUUUAAUGCUUUUGGGCCUUAAUUUAUUCAUUGGCUGUGCAGCUUCUCCAUUUAAUUGGACUGCACUAUUUUAAAUUAAUUAGACUUAUUAAGUUUGAUUAAUUAUUUUAAUUUGCAUAAUAAUAUCAUAUUAUUAUUAUGUGCAUAUUUUAAGUUAUUACUUAUUAUAUGCUAAGCAUGACAUGAAAUUGCAUUAUAUUUUGCAAUAAAAGUAUUUAUGAUUUAAUUGGUUUUAUUUAUAAUUCCAAUUAUUAAAGAAAGAUGAGUAAGAAUAUUGUUGGUGUUCUUAACUCAAGAGAAAUGUUUUCAAUUAUUUAUUUAUUAAAUUUUAAAACCCGGCUAAGUGAAUCAUAGAAUGUUAAGCACUACACCAUGACUUAAGAUUAGAUUUAAGGAGACCUUAUUGAAAUAGAUUUCUUGUAGGUCUUUGGCACAGGGAUUAACGCUGCUUUCCCAAGACAGGUUUUAUAUGUGAUUAUGAUCUUCAGGCUUUGCCUAACCAGGUGGGCAUUACUUUUACUAUACGUAUAUAGAGAUCCCCUGCAUGUCGUAGGCCUCUUAUACGAAUAUAUGCAUGAGAUGAUUUUAACUGUUAAUUUCAGUUUAUUAUUAUGCCCAAAUGAUAAAUGACUCUUAUGAAAUAAAAAUGAAAUGUUUAUGAAAUGAAAUGAAAUGUUUAUGAAAUGAUUGACUGCCAAAAAUGUUUAUGUUUUUAUAUGUAUCCUAUCUGUGUUGGUUCGCCAACUUUAAAGGAAAUCCAAUUGGGAUCCUAUGCUAGACAAAGGUCGCUAGCUAGGGUUAACGUGUACACUUAUGGAGACCGCGAGUCGCUUGCGACCGGUCUUGGCGUCCGUGGUAAGGAGGCCUCCUUCCCGGCGCGUGACAGAAAUGAACAGAUAUGGAUCAUAUGAAGGAAAAUGAUCGGCCGAUCGACUUUAUGAAAAUGAAAGAAAUAUUUUAGUAAGCGCAGGUCAUUUCAAGAAAACCCCUGUGUGUUACUGUUAUGGCAGUUCAAUUUAUAUAUGUAUGCAUGAAUGUAUUUUCGGCUAUGCCCACUGAGUAUUUUUAUACUCAGCCCUGCAUGUAUUUCUAAAUGUGCAGGUUGAGCAGUUGAUGGAAUGGAAUGAUGUUGAGCGGGUGUUCCUUUGAUCAUUUCAAGAAAUGUAACCUUGAGUAUACAUCUUCAUAUGUAUAUCUCACACGUUUUCCGCUGCAAAAUACGUUGAUUAGGAUAGCCCUAUGUUAUGAAGUUGGGAUACGUGUUAUUGGGUAACCCACCUUAAUCAGUUCUCAUUUAUGUGUAUGUUUUAUAAGUAUCCAAAUAAUCAUAUAUGAUCCUAGCAUUUUAUCUAUGAGUGGCAUUUCCAUAUACUUUAAUGUUAAGUAAUUGUCCAUCCCAUUUCUUAUUGUUCACCCCAAGUCAUAACCCCGGUUAACCCGUCAUUGGGAUAGUGGGCUGUGACAGUUGUCGUAGUAAGGUGCAAGCUUUCUCUUCAAGCUUCUGCGUCCUUGCAUACACAACACGAAUAAACAAAUCAAACGCACCGGAGGGAGAAAAUAACCGAGUUAAAAGAAAGAAAUAAAAUAAACACGAAAACAAAUGCAACACAACUAAAUGCCUAAAGCCCUCCCCGGCAACAGCGCCAAAAUUUGACUCAUCCAAAACACCUAGCGGAUGGACUUGAAUUUAUACGAGGUCGUUCUAGGGCAAUAAGGUGACUCAAGUCGUCUCACACGGAAGGCUUAGCAGGGCUCUAAUUGUGUUACUCACAAGAAACUGAAGGAAAACCUAAACACUCUAAUCGGGUAGUUGGGUCUGGCACUAUCUCGCUCUCCGAUUAACUACUGCGUAAUUAAAAUAAAGCAUAUAAAACUAACUAGACCAACUAUAGGAAGCAGAUUAAGAACGCAGGAAAACUAGUAAACCUAGGGUUCUAAACUAGCAAUCUAGAAAGCAAUAGUUAAUUCAACAAUCAUAAACAACGAUUAUCUAGGCGAGAUAAAAGAACAAACAAUUCAUCAAAUGAACUCGAAGCAAUAAUAAUCUACGCAAGGAAAUAAACUAGCAUUCAAUCCCAUAGAAAACGUAAACUGAGUUCUUACAGCGAGUACUAUCCAAAUCUUCAAUCCAAUGUAAUGCAAACUAACAUGAUCUUCAAUCCACAAAGCCCAAAGAUGUUUGUUGAUGUUUGAACUACUCUAAAACUAGGAAAACAAAGGUAAAAUCGCCUAGGAGGCUGCUGGGGUCGAGAAUGGGGUCAAAACCCUAAAAAUGAGCUUUUAAACGGAAAAAGACGUAACUGCCGAAACACAGGGACGGCGGCCGCCGUGGCACGGCGGUGCCGUAGGUUGCCUUCGCUGCUUACUCCAAAAACAUGCACGGCGCGCGCCGUGGGGCCGCGGCCGGCGUCUUGACGGCGGCGGCCGUGAGGUGUGCUUCCAAAAAUGCUCCCAACGACGCCAAAAAGCUCGACAACUCUCAAAUCCUGCACACGACAGUAACACACCCAAAUAGUCAUCGAGUAAGUGAAGAAUAGAGCAAAAAGAUACGAAACAUACUCGAAUGCACAGCAGAAACACUCGCAAAUACUACCCAAAAAUGAGGUAAACAAGUGCCAAGAUUUUACUUUGGUUUUAUUUUGAAUUUCCGUUGGCACUUAUGGCACGACACGCGACCCGCGUGCCUGAUCCUACCCGGUCCGUCUCAUUAAGGGUAAAAACGUCCAAAUCAAUAAAAAUGGCCAAAUUUUGUGUUUUUUCAAUGUGUGGCCAUAAAUUAUGUUUUAUGCUUCAUUUUGGCUACUUCAAAAUUUUACUCUAUAUAAUAUGUAAAAUAACCUUAAAAUAAAAUAUGUAAUAGGGGUAAAAUAGACAAUCUACAAGUUGUGCCUUAGAAUACCUUAAGCUCUUUUUCUAUUAGUAUAAAUAUGGGAGGAGCCAAGACAUUCCUAGCUUAAAAGGUUAGAAAAAAUAAAAAAAUACUCCAGUCGUCCCUCCAAAAGUUUGCCACAAGAGGAGUGGCACAUUUUAAUGAAAGUUGAUAAAAAAAAUAUUUGAUGGUUGAGUCAUAUACAAAAAUAAUGCUUAAAUGAUUAUAAUUAUAAAAUUGAUGGUGAGUCAUGUACAAAAAUAGAAAAUAAGAAGAUUAUGGCAAAUUAUUUGGGAUCACCUUAAAAAGAGAAUUGGGGUAAACUUUUUGGAGACAGGAGGAGUAUAUCAUAAUAUUACUCUCUCCAUCUCAUUAGUAUUGUCUCAUUAUUUUUUAGCACCGAGAUUGAAAAAAAGUAUAGUUAGUGUAUAAAGUGAGUUGGUGUGAGAUAUUUAUUGAUUAUUGUAAAUGAGUUGAUCUAUAAUGUAGGUUGGGUCCACCAUUAAUAAUAUUUUUGUAAUACCCCGUUCCUCGAGCUAAGUUUAGAAUAAUUUUAAACUUAGAUUUAAGAUGAUUCACGCCGGAUUAAGAAAAAGAAUUUACUUUAAUUCCAACAAAAAUGAUUUACAAAAAAAAAACAUUUGUAAAUUAGUUAUUAAAUUUAUAUGCAUUGAAUAUUAUUAAUUUAACAUUUAGCAUCUACACGAGCUAUUGUUUAAGCAAAAAAAAACUGAACGAUUAUUACAGUUUUCAUAGUAUAACCCGGAAGACUUUAUUUUAUUAUAUUUAAUUUCUUCACCUAAUUCCCACAUCUACCUACUCUUCCACCUCCAUGACAGCCAUGCCACCUUCCUUUACACCUUUUUUCCACCUCCAUGACAGCCCUUUACACUUAACAUCAUCAUCAAAUUCCUGCAGCCAAGUUCUCCAUUUUCCAUCCUCCACUAUCAUCCCACAUAUUUCAUCUCUCUCACAAGAAAAUCUCAAACUCACUCCCUCUCAAGCAGAACUCAACUGCCUAGGUAAGUUUUGAACUUUGGUUUCAUCAUUCUCUCAUACUCCAUCUUGCAAAUAAUUGAAGGAUUCCCUGCUAAAAUUCUACUGCAGUUGUUCCACUGAAGCCCAGUUUUAACGCAGUGAAUCAAAACCAAUACCAACAAGAUCAGACAAACAAUUGAAACGAAACCUCUUAAGGUUCCCUCUUGAGUCCUUACCUUAUUUGCUAAAUUGAAAUUCAGUUUCGUGUAUCAAGUUUUUGAACAAAUGACAUUUACAUACAUGAGCAUACAAAUAUGUAUUUCUAUAUUCAUGAACAUUCUUGUUGAAAGAAGAAGAAAGUUUGAGCCUUGAUUUGUUUCCUUGUCUGUCGAGUCUGGGCUCUGGUCGAAGGCGGUGGCUCGGCGCCACUGUCGGUCGGCUGGCGAGUUGAGGGAGAAGAUGACUGAGGCGGAUGAGAGAAUGGAGGGAAGCAGGGCACGGCGGCGGUGCCGCUGCUGUCCGGCCAAGGGCGAAAAACUGAGAGGGGAGGGAAUCAUGGUCUGUGUGUGUGAGCGUCUGUGAGUCAGGCGAGAGUCGACGGCGGCAGCCAUGGCUGCUGUCGCCGGAUGUUGCACAGAGGGAGGCCGAGGGAGGCGGCGGCGUCCGUCGUGGCCAAGGGAGAGAGGGAGAACAGAGGCUGUUCCCGCCGGGUUCGGUGAACAGAGGGGAGAACGGCUGCGGCCGGAACUAGAGAAGAGAGAUGAGGAUCGGAGAUCUGAGCGGAGAACGGCGGCGGUCUGGGCUGCUGUCGCCGGGAGUCUGCUAGAUGGAGGGAGGUGGUGGCGUCUCGCCGUCGCCAAGGAGGAGAGAGAUCGACGGGUGGCUAGGUAGAGGGAAAACGAGGGAGAAGAAGAUGAGGGAGAGUGAGAGGGCCGGUCGUCGGCUUCUCGCCGGAGGAGGAGCCGCGGCGGCGGAAUUUCGAGGGAGAAGGGGCGGAUAUGGCGGAACUGAGGGAGAAAGAGAAAAGCUAUGUGUGUGUGCGUGAGAGGCGUGUGAUCUGUGAAGAAGAAGAAGGGGGGAGGGAGUGUGGGCUUUAGGUUUGGGUUAGGGGUUGGGCUUUAAAUUUGGGCCGGGUUUUUAAUUAAUAGUGGGCCGAUUUUAAUUAGAGUGGGCUCGAGUUGUGGGCUGAUUUUAAUUAGAGUGGGCUCGAGUCAUGGGCCGAUUUUUAUGAGUAUUUGGGCCGAGAUUUUAUUUAUUUUUGUUUCAGUUGGGCUAUUAACUAAUAAAUUUGUUGGGCCUUAUUUUAUUUAAGGAUUUUGAAUUGCCUUCAAUUAAUUAAAUUGGGCUUUCUUAUUUUUAAUUAAUUGAACUAUUAUUAGUUUGAUUAAUUUAUUUAAAGGAUAAUUUUCAUAAUAAUAUUAUAUUAUUAUUAUUAUGUGCAUAUUUUAAGUAAUUACUUAUUAUAUGUUAAGCAUGACAUGAUUUGCAUUAUAUUUUGCAAUAAGAAUAUUUAUGAUUUAAUUGGUUUUAUUAUAAUUCCAAUUAUUAAAGAAAGAUGAGUAAGAAUAUUGUUGGUGUUCUUAACUCAAAGAGAAAUGUUUUCAAUUAUUUAUUCAUUAAAUUUUGAAAACCCGGCUAAGUGAAUCAUAGAAUAUUAAGCACUUCACCAUGACUUAAGAUUAGAAUUCAAGGAGACCUAUUAAGAAUAGAUUUCUUGUAGGCUUUGAGCAUCAGGAGGACUAGCACUGCUAUUCCGAUUCAGAGAUAAGGUUAAACGACAGGCUUUGCCUAUACAGUGGGCUUAUUUUCAAAUGUAUGAUUUAGCUAUUGAGCUUAAAUAUUCGUGAAAUAUAAACUGUUUAUCCAAUAAAAUAUUUUUGUGUCACUCUACCAUGUUUAAUGUCUCGUACAGUUAAUCAAUUGAGGUUCUCUUAUGACCUAACACGUUGUUUGAGAAUUGUGUACACUUGUUAGAUGACUCGGUUGGUUGAUCUCCAUCGGGCACUAACCAGAGGCGUUAUAAGGGUGCUCGACGGGAUGGUGUUCCGGAGCAUAGAAUGAUAGGCCUGUCUGGAUUAAUUUCCGAGGUUUAUUAUACUUGGCUGGGUUACGCCCUCAGUUCAAGUCAGCGGGAGACAGAGAUCCGUCGNNNNNNNNNNNNNNNNNNNNNNNNNNNNNNNNNNNNNNNNNNNNNNNNNNNNNNNNNNNNNNNNNNNNNNNNNNNNNNNNNNNNNNNNNNNNNNNNNNNNNNNNNNNNNNNNNNNNNNNNNNNNNNNNNNNNNNNNNNNNNNUGCACUAGCAUUUAUUUGUCUUUUGUUUCUCCAACUUAAGACUUUUAUGUUAAAUUCUGAAUUAUGUUUUUAUCGAGCUUAAACUCUCAACUUCUAGCUCUAUGUUAUUUAACGUUGGUUAUCGGAAGCAUGAAACCGAACUUGUGAUCCUAAGGCUUUGAAUGUUGUUGAUUGAUUAGUAUCACUUGAUUUCUAUCUUUCUUCAUUCAAAGGGCAUUGCCCAACAUUUUAUUCUAUUAUCUGAAUUUCACAAGGUUCUUCCCUUGUUCAUUUAUAUGAUUUUAGUCGUACCCCAGUUAUAGUUUAUUCCUUCAAGAAUUGGGGUGUGACAAAAAAAAAUUUAAGGGAGAAUUUUUCCAUAAUAAAUUUAUCAAUCAAAGAGAACACACACCCCUUAGGGGUGUUUACUUUGGAAGAUUAGCUUGAUAGAUAAAAAUAGUAAGGCUAGUCUCUUAUUUACUUUGAUGGAUUGAAAGUUUGGGAUAUCCCAAGACUCUUGAUUAUUUCUAUCAUUUAAGCUAGUUUUGUUUGAUUUUUAUCUCAUUGAAAUGUUGGGAUUAGAGAAAUCCUACUAUUAACUAUUAAGUAUAAAAAUACUCAAUCAUGUAAAGUAAACGCCCCCUUAUAAAAAAUCAGGGUAAAUGUCACUUUAUGUCCCAUCGUUUGACCGAAUUAUCGAUUAUGUCCCAACUUUUUGAUAAUAUCUAAUUGGUACCCAACCUAUCAACAUUUUUUUAAUUGUGUCCCGUUAAAAUUUUCCGGCGCCCGAAAGAUGAUGUGGAACGCCAUAAAUUUACUACAUGGAUUUAUUUACUACAAGCAAUCUAAAAGGUUAUUAGCUUUAGAUUAGCUUCUUUUUUUAUCAUUUGUUUACAUAAGAGGAAGUGCAGAAAGGAAUAGUUCCCUUCCCUUUGCUGUAAAUUUUGUUGAUCAUUAUAUAAAUAUAAGGCACUCAUUUUUUUCUACGAUGCUGCACGAUAUUGUUCAUCAUUUUCUAUUUUCCAUAAACCAAUCUAUCUAUAUAUAAUAUAAAAGAGGAGUCUAACGUAAACUUUUUUCCCACCAAAAUUUUCUCUCUCUUUAUUUUCUUUUUGUAAUUUUGAUUCCUUUUUAAAAUCAUCAACUUUAAUUUAUAAAAACAUAUUCAAUAUGGAUGUUAAAUUAAAGAUAACGACGAUAUCUUUAAUUUGAUAUAAAAAUUAUAGAAAAUAAAUUUAAAAUCAAUAAGUUAUUAUAAUUUAAAGUCACAAAAUUAUUUUUUUUCUCUCUCCUCUCUUCUCUCCUCUAUCAUAUCCUCUCUCAUUUCUCAAUUUUUUAAGAUGCCACGGUUCUUUCAUUCCUUUUUCCAUAUUUUUUUAUUUUAUUUUUUAUGUCUUUAUUAUAUAUUAGUAUUUUUAUAUUUUACUAUUUAUAUUUUUAUUAUAUCAUUUUAAUGCAAUUGCAAUGAUGAAACAUAUAUUUGAUCAUUUUAGAAAUUUUUAGCUUAAAAAUAUAUUUUUAAUUUCAGUGAUGGUCGUGCAUCGCACGAGCGGGCACAUACUAGUUACACAAUAUAUCACAGUUUAAGCAUUCACAAUUAUUGUAUCUUUGCUAACUACUUCAGUUCAAUAACUUGUUCGAGUGAUUCGAGAGUUCUUCAAGCACCGAAGAGUUUUUUUUUCCAAACCAAGGGUGCGGGAGUUAUAUUCUAUGACUUGGGGAUUUUUAAUUUGGUAUUAUGUUUUGUGCCUCAUAGGUAAUCGUUUUUUGUUUCUUUUUAAAGUUUAAUUAUGCUGGAAAUUCCAAGUGAAUAAAUAAAUCCACGUAGUAAAUUUUCGGCGUUCCACAUCAUCUUCCGGGCGCCGGAAAAUUUUAACGGGACACAAUUAAAAAAAUGUUGAUAAGUUGGGUACCAAUUAAAUAUUAUCGAAAAGUUGAGACAUAAUCGAUAAUCCGACCAAACGAUGGGACAUAAAAUGACAUUUACCCAAAAAAUUAUGCAUUCAUUAUGGGUGAAGCGUAGUUUUAUUCACCACCUCUAUAAUUAGGAUGGCAAGCUCCUUAUCUUCAUUCCUCUUUAUCUUCACAUUACAUUUAUUCUUCAUCAUCUUUAUUUAUUCCUCUUUAUCCUUAAUUUGCUUAACUCACACUUAUUCCUCUUUAUGCUUACUAAUUUACUUCACUCGCACUUAUUCCUCUUUAAUCUUUACUUAUUCCUCUUAAUCUUUAAUUCUUAUAUAUAUAUAUCAAACUCGUUACAUGUUCUUAUAUUCAUUCAAUAAUAGUACCAUUUUUAUUAUAUUGUUGGUUUACGGGUUGAGCGAGCAUUGGUUUUCCGGAAGUUAUGUUCCUCGGUAAGGUUUUAAUGAAGCUCAACUCAUUGUACGUUUGACAUGGAUCGAUCUCCUUGUUUAUUUUUAAUUUUUACUUUUUAUUUAUUUAUUCAUUUUUUUGCGUGUUGCAGGUUAAAUUUCUUCCCAUUCGAGGUGCAGUCUUGUUGUUGCAUUACUCAAGUGAUUCUCUUUCUACCCUUUUCUUUGCAAAAAAAUGAUUUUUUCAGUUAUGUUUUUGAAGUGGUGUUAUGUUUGAAUUGAAUUGAUGGUUUGUAAUGCUUCAAGUUGUUGCUAUUCUACGUCAUCCUGCUCUGUGAUGAAAUGUUUUGCUUUAAUUAAUAAUUAUGUGAUCAUUUUAUGCAUUGAGCAUAAGGUAUGGAAACACUUGAUCUUCAAGGUGUUAUUGAUGAUUUUAUUUUUCAAAAUGUUGAAAGAUUUAAAUUAUUUUAAUAGAUAUUUUAUCAUUGUCUUUUGGUUAUUGCACUUUAUAGAUUAAAGUUAUAUCGUCACACAAGUAUGGAAGAUGAUUAUACGUUAUUUAUAGCUAAUAAUAAAAAUAUUGAAGUUUCAUUUCUUAAAGAGCUACUCCCUCCGUCCCACUCCAAUAGGCUCGCUUUCCUUUUUGGGACGUCCCACUCCAAUAGGCCCAGUCUAAAAUUGAAAAUAAUUAGGGCUUUAAUAAAAUUCAAUAGUUACUUAAUUAAAGGAGAUAUACCCUUUAAUCUACUCAUUCAAAAUAAUUUCACUUCAGAUUUUUCCCCUCUCUCUCCGGGAACCUUCCCCUUCCCCCUUCCCCUUUCCGUCAACUUCCCCACCGCCGCCGUCAAAUUUAACAAUAAUAAUAGAAAUUAAACGAAAUUUCAUCCAAUUUAUGGCUAACAAAUUACGGAUGGAAAAUGCCGACAAAGAGAAUGACCGUUUAAUUUGAGGGACACCUUAAUCCCUCAAAACGUCAUUUUAAUUGCAAUAGGGGGAAUGUUUUGUUCCUAAUCUAUUUAAUAUAUUAAAGGAUUACACGUUGAAGAGCUCACAAUCAUUCUCUAUCCUAGGUGGCACUCUAGAAUGCUUAUAUUUCUAAUUUUCUAAAUCCUUCAUAUUUCAUGCCUCUUAAAUCCAAAAAAUCCAAAAAAAAUAUAAACAAAAUAUAAUCAUAACCGUUACUUUUUAUACAUUUAAUAUCAAUAACUAUUUUCUUCAAAUUUAUCAUAGAAAGUCAAACGUUUAUAUAAUGCAAUACUUUUUAUACAUUUAAUAUCAAUAACUAUUUUCUUCAAAUUUAUCAUAGAAAGUCAAAUGUUUAUAUAAUGCAAUGUAAUUAAUGGUUGGAAUAAAAAGUAAACUACACCAUAUACUAUUUUCAAAAAUCUCUAUUCUCCUUCAUUCUCAUUUUUUCAUAAGUCAUAGUAUCUCUUAUCCACAUUAAUUUUUAAUCAAACUCCAUCAUGACUAAAGACUAUAUAAAUACUUGUGUAAUAUCUCAUCCUUUAUAUAUUUGCACCAUCAAUUUAAUUUGAUCAAUUAGUCAAAUUAGAUUAAAAUUUUGAUUAAAAAAACUAUUUAUUUGGCCAACUAAUUAAUUAAUUAGUCAAAUUGUCUUAUUGUAAAGAAGAUGUUUAGUUGGCCAAUAAAUAGUUAUAUUUAAAAUAGAUCAAAUAAUUAAGUUUUGUUAUUUAUUAUACAAUCAAAUCAACCAACUACAAUACGAAUUAAUUAUUAUUACUUUUUUUAGAUCUAAAUAUGUUACUUUGUUUAACUAGAUUAACCAAUAACCGGAUUGAAAAAUUCAAUUAUUUGAAGUAGGUUCGAGUGAAAUUUAGUUUGACUUAAAUGUGAAAACUCUAAAUGUUAGUUAUCUAAUUCAAUUUUAAAAGAAUGACAAGUUUACCACAGUACUAGCAUUGAGAAACCUGAAAAUUCUAAUUGUCUGUUAAACAUAAGAUGAUUUUCUACAUACUAAUAUUAAUAUAUAAAAUAAAUUAAAAUAUAGUAAAAUUUUUCUUAAUAUAUUUAAAACUAAUUUAUCUUAAUAUGCCUGCAUAAGUUUUUUAUUUAUUCAACGUUGCAAAAUUAUCUUUUGUAUUAAAUUAAUGACAAUAUAAAUUGACCAAUUGAUUUGUAAGCAUUUCCGCUAGGUAUAUAAUUUUUUAUAGCUCUAGACGAGAUGAGUCUCAAAAUUAACUUUUGAUCUUUCAAACUCUAGAUGAGAUAAUCUUAAAAAUUCAUAGGUGAUCUAUCAAACUUCAUACGAGAUGUACUUAUAAGUCGAUUUUGCUCCAAACAAUGUGAUGCUCAUAGGUUAGAAGUGGUUCGCGAAACUCCAAACGAGAUAAUACUUAUAGCUAAAUUUCGAUCAUUUAAGCUUCAAAUGAGAUACUCAGCUACGGUCUUCAAACUCCAAAUGAGUGAUGCUUAUAACUCAAUUCCGAUCUAUCAAACUAUAGACAAGAUGAUGGUUACAAGUCUGUUAUAGUUUUUCAAGCUCCACACGAGAUGAUGCUCACAAGUCAGGUUUUAUCUUUCAAGUUGAAGAUGAGAUGAUACUCAUAAGCCAAAUCUCAUAUAACAAGCUUCAGAUAAGAUAAUAAUUAUAAGUUCAACGUACAAAAGUCAAAUGCGAUAUUUCAAGUUACAGACAAGAUAAUGCUCAAAAGUUUUGUAAGGUUCGAAUGAGACGAUGUUCGUAUAUAAGAUGGUUUUCCUAUGUAACACCCCGACUUUUCCUUAAUAGAAUUUCACGAUAAAUUUUGAAAUUAGAACUAUUUUAGUUGAUUCUCUCCUGGAUAAUUUUUUUUUAGAAAACAUUUCUUUUUAGCAAAAAGAUUUUAUCAAAGUUUUAUAAUUUUAAUAUUAGAAUUUUAUACAAAUCGAAUCUUUCAUGCUUUGAUAUUUUUUUAGAAAAUCAAUAAUAUUUACAGCAGUGAACUUGAUUCAGAUUUUCAAAUUUGUUAUAUAUGCCUUGAGCCAAAUUCAGCUAUUGAGAUUCUAAAAAGAGAGUUAUUAUUACUGGGAUUUGAUCUUUGUUUUUGGAUCAAACUUUGGGAGAAAACCUUUUGAAGCCCAACAUUUUACAACAUUUUAUAAGCUGCAGAAUUUUUUUAGCGUGCAUCUUUUCCAUUCAAUAACUAAUUGAAUGGAAAUGGUUAUUCCACAUCCCCAAUUUUCAGCUAUAAGAUCCUCAGACCUUCCCAGCUUCUUCACCCAGUUCCAAAUUUAUUACUACUCACCCCAGAUUUUCUUCCGAUAAAUUUUACAACUUUCUUUCACAGAUUCGAUGCCACGAGCUGUGUAAACUUUGAGCAGAUUCAUAUCACACAAAGGUUUGCUUCCUUCUAUUCAAGAACACAAUAACAUAGCUAUCACCAAUUGUUUUCACAAAACAAAAUCAAUCAAGAUGUUCAUAUGCAUGUACUUUGCAUAAUCUGAAGCAUUUAUUUCAUAAACUGAAUCAAGUUUUCUUGAAGUGAAUAAAUGAGUAGAAAAAUGUUUUUAAAUUGGAAAAAAAGGGGAAUAAUUUGCUGUCGGAUGUGGGUGACUCGAGGCAAGUCGGGGACUGAGAGGCGGCUGCGGCUUGAUUGCUGCUGCUGCUGCUGCUCGAGAGUUGAGGGAGAAACCGGCGGCGGCGGAGGCUGUUGAUUGUUGUUGUCUGUCGGUCGGGAGGAGAGAAAAUGGGCAGGGCGGUGGUCCUUGUGGGCUGCUGUUCAGCCGGUCGAUGGAGGAGGAAGGCGGCUGAGCGGCGACGCCGCUGUUACCGCGGCUGUUGUCGCCGGCAAGGGAGAGGUGCCGGGCGUCCGUUGGAGAGGAAGAAGAACAAAAAUAAAAAAUAGAGAGAGACCGAUAGAUAAGAGAGAUAGAAGGGAGAUGGGCUUGUUGAAUUAUUGUUGGGUUUAAUUAAAUGAUGAGCAUGGGCUGCAUUUUGAUGUUGAGCUUGGCACUUGUUUAUUUAG
rnacentral:lncRNA from 1 species